rnacentral:rRNA from 1 species
CAGCCGCCGCGGGAAUACGUAGGGUGCGAGCGUUAAUCGGAAUUACUGGGCGUAAAGCGUGCGCAGGCGGUUCGUUAAGACAGAUGUGAAAUCCCCGGGCUUAACCUGGGAACUGCAUUUGUGACUGACGGGCUAGAGUAUGGCAGAGGGGGGUAGAAUUCCACGUGUAGCAGUGAAAUGCGUAGAGAUGUGGAGGAAUACCGAUGGCGAAGGCAGCCCCCUGGGCCAAUACUGACGCUCAUGCACGAAAGCGUGGGGAGCAAACAGGAUUAGAUACCCGCGUAGUCCCUGUCUCUUAUAC